CGGACCCCUGCUGCGACCAGCUGGCGCCUGGCGCGACCAUUUUGUUCCC
rnacentral:sRNA from 1 species